ACCAUUAAUUUUUAUGAACCCCUAAUUUAUAAUGAAUGACUCCAUAUUUAUAUGGAAGACACCAUGCUAGGAUUAGUAACAAGAAUUUAUAAUUCUCCAAAAUGCAAAUAUAAACCAACAUGGAUAGACCAUUGGUAGUUACCGAACCUAAAUUUAAUGCAAUAACAUCCACAAGAAAACUCUGCAGCACUCACUCGUUAACCUAACACCAGCGCAUUACAGGAAAGAUUCAAAAAAAGAGAAGGAAUUCGGCAAAUGACGACCCCGCCUGUUUACCAAAAACAUCGCCUCUUGACUUAUAAUAAGAGGUCUAGCCUGCCCAGUGAAUUUUAAACGGCCGCGGUAUCCUAACCGCGCGAAGGUAGCAUAAUCACUUGUUCUUUAAAUGGGGACUCGUAUCAACGGCAUCACGAGGGUCUUACUGUCUCCUCUUUUUGAUCAGUGAAAUUGAUCUUCCCGUGAAGAAGCGGGAAUAUUUUUAUAAGACGAGAAGACCCCAUGGAGCUUUAAACCAAAUAACAACUUAACCACUUAUCCCAUAAUAAAUUUAACCCCUGUUAUAAGGUUUUUGGUUGGGGUGACCGCGGAGUAAAGCACAUCCUCCACGACGGAAAGAAUAAAAUCUUUAUUUAAGAACCACACUUCUAGAAAUUAGUAUACUAACGUUUACUGACCCGACAAUCGAUCAACGGACCAAGUUACCCUGGGGAUAACAGCGCAAUCUACUUCGAGAGCUCAUAUCGACAAGUAGGCUUACGACCUCGAUGUUGGAUCAGGGUAUCCCGGUGGUGCAGCCGCUACCGAAGGUUCGUUUGUUCAACGAUU
rnacentral:rRNA from 1 species